rnacentral:tRNA from 1 species
GCAGAGGGUAAAGCGUCUGCCUGUAAUGCAGGAGACCCAGGUUCAAUCCCUGG